GAUGAACGCUAGCUACAGGCUUAACACAUGCAAGUCGAGGGACCGGCGCACGGGUGAGUCACACGUAACCAACCUGCCCUUUACUCGUGGAUAGCCUUUCGAAAGAAAGAUUAAUACCCGAUAUAAAGGAUGGGGAUGCGUUCCAUUAGGUUGUGGGUGAGGGAACGGCUCACCAAGCCUUGCAUGGUUAGGGGUUCGGAGAGGAAGGUCCCCGACAUUGGAACGGAGGAACGGUCCAAACGCCUACGGGGGGCAGCAGUGAUGAAUAUUGUGGAAUGGGCGCUAGCCUGAACCAGCAAAGUAGCGUGAAGGAUGAAGGCUUAUGGGUCGUAAACUUCUUUUAUACAAGAAUAUGUAUUAUAUGAAUAAGGAUCGGCUAACUCCGUGCCAGCCGCCGCGGUAAUUC
rnacentral:rRNA from 1 species